AAUGUCUCUUUAUAUACUGAAAGGUACAGUAAGGACGGGGAAGGCUUCUGACUUUCAGCUGAACUCUUGCACGUCUUCCACUGGCUCGGAAUUUACACUCGGCAAGCAGACGGGAGCUGCGCAACAAGUCCGGUGGUAUUUAAUGGGAGCAGAACAGAAACAGAGGUUGACAAGCACCCACGGGUAACAUC